rnacentral:rRNA from 1 species
AUUGAACGCUGGCGGCAGGCCUAACACAUGCAAGUCGAGCGGUAGCACAGAGAGCUUGCUCUCGGGUGACGAGCGGCGGACGGGUGAGUAAUGUCUGGGAAACUGCCUGAUGGAGGGGGAUAACUACUGGAAACGGUAGCUAAUACCGCAUAACGUCGCAAGACCAAAGUGGGGGACCUUCGGGCCUCAUGCCAUCAGAUGUGCCCAGAUGGGAUUAGCUAGUAGGUGGGGUAACGGCUCACCCAGGCGACGAUCCCUAGCUGGUCUGAGCGGAGGACCAGGCACACUGGAACGGAGACACGGUCCAGACUCCUACGGGAGGCAGCAGUGGGGAAUAUUGCACAAUGGGCGCAAGCCUGAUGCAGCCAUGCCGCGUGUGUGAAGAAGGCCUUCGGGUUGUAAAGCACUUUCAGCGGGGAGGAAGGCGGUGAGGUUAAUAACCUCAUCGAUUGACGUUACCCGCAGAAGAAGCACCGGCUAACUCCGUGCCAGCCGCCGCAGUAA